CCCUGGUCACCAUGCUCUGGGAUUACUGGGACAACUGUCCCGACCCUGCAGAGAUCUCCAUUGCAGAGGGCUGACCACCCCUCCCAACCCACGUCAGCUGAGGGCUGAGACCUGCACAGGUCCCCACAUCCCACAGUCCUUCAGCCACUCUGCAGUCCUGGAAUCUAUUGGCACUUUCACACAGGGACACAUGAAGGGGAUGAGUGGUGACUGCAUGAAGAUACUUCUAAUCCGAUUUAGAAGCAACAACAAGGCUGGAGAAGAGCUCAGGAGCCCCUUCGUUUGUAGGUGAUGUUACAGCCACGGCUACUGUCAGAUCUCCUUGUCAAGUCAUCACGUGAGACUGUCUUCAGAGAUGACAACCAGAGGACUUGGAAGGACCUCCUGAGUCUGUGCACAGACAUUUGUGAACAACCACAUUCAAGGAUGAAGCUCAGGAAGAGUCACAUUUCAUCCAACAUCUCUGACCAACACCACGAGACCUCACUGAGAGCUGCAGCCACUGCCACCGAACCACACCGAUGUGUUGGCUUCACAACUGCAAGGUCACAGAUCCCAGUAGUUUGAUGGAUUUGUUGCUCUCCUUUUUUAUGUUUUA
ensembl:lncRNA